rnacentral:rRNA from 1 species
GACGAACGCUGGCGGCGUGCUUAACACAUGCAAGUCGAGCGGAAAGACCCGGAGUUUGUUGCUUGGACGAGUGGCGAACGGGUGAGUAACACAUGAGGAACAUGCCCCUGACUGUGUGAUAAAACCUCGGGACAGCGGCUAAUACAGGAUAUGAGAUACUGAAGCGUGGGGGUGAUUAGUGAAAUUCGGCGGUUUGGGAUGGUAUAGCUGCUUAUCCGCUUGUUGGGGAGGUAGUGGCUGACCAAGGCUACGAAGGGUAGCCGGCCUGAGAGGGUGACCGGCCACAAUGGGACUGAGAUACGGCCCAGACUCCUACGGGAGGCAGCAGUGGGGAAUAUUGCACAAUGGGCGGAAGCCUGAGGCAGCGACGCUGCGUGCGGGAUGACGGCCUUCGGGUUGUAAACCGCUUUCGACGGUGAUGAAGCGAUAGUGACGGUACCUGGUGAAGAAGCACCGGCUAACUACGUG